rnacentral:rRNA from 1 species
GUGGGGAAUCUUGCGCAAUGGGCGAAAGCCUGACGCAGCCAUGUCGCGUGAAUGAUGAAGGUCUUAGGAUUGUAAAAUUCUUUCACCGGGGACGAUAAUGACGGUACCCGGAGAAGAAGCUCCGGCUAACUUCGUGCCAGCAGCCGCGGUAAUACGAAGGGGGCUAGCGUUGCUCGGAAUUACUGGGCGUAAAGGGCGCGUAGGCGGACAGCUUAGUCAGAGGUGAAAGCCCAGGGCUCAACCUUGGAAUUGCCUUUGAUACUGGCUGUCUUGAGUUUGGGAGAGGUGAGGGGAACUCCGAGUGUAGAGGUGAAAUUCGUAGAUAUUCGGAAGAACACCAGUGGCGAAGGCGACUCACUGGCCCAAUACUGACGCUGAGGCGCGAAAGCGUGGGGAGCAAACAGGAUUAGAUACCCGUGUAGUCC